rnacentral:rRNA from 1 species
CCUACGGGUGGCAGCAGUAGGGAAUCUUCCACAAUGGGCGAAAGCCUGAUGGAGCAACGCCGCGUGGGUGAAGAAGGUCUUCGGAUCGUAAAACCCUGUUGUUAGAGAAGAAAGUGCGUGAGAGUAACUGUUCACGUUUCGACGGUAUCUAACCAGAAAGCCACGGCUAACUACGUGCCCGCAGCCGCGGUGAUACGUAGGUGGCAAGCGUUGUCCGGAUUUAUUGGGCGUAAAGGGAACGCAGGCGGUCUUUUAAGUCUGAUGGGAAAGCCUUCGGCUUAACCGGAGUAGUGCAUUGGAAACUGGGAGACUUGAGUGCAGAAGAGGCGAGUGGAACUCCAUGUGUAGCGGUGAAAUGCGUAGAUAUAUGGAAGAACACCAGUGGCGAAAGCGGCUCUCUGGUCUGUAACUGACGCUGAGGUUCGAAAGCGUGGGUAGCAAACAGGAUUAGAUACCCCAGUAGUC